CAGUCGCCACGGGAAUACGGAGGGUGCAAGCGUUAAUCGGAAUUACUGGGCGUAAAGCGCACGCAGGCGGUCUGUCAAGUCAGAUGUGAAAUCCCCGGGCUUAACCUGGGAACUGCAUUUGAAACUGGCAGGCUAGAGUCUUGUAGAGGGGGGUAGAAUUCCAGGUGUAGCGGUGAAAUGCGUAGAGAUCUGGAGGAAUACCGAUGGCGAAGGCAGCCAUCUGGCCUAAUACUGACGCUGAGGUACGAAAGCAUGGGGAGCAAACAGGAUUAGAUACCCGUGUAGUCCCUGUCUCUUAUAC
rnacentral:rRNA from 1 species